GGAUAUAUGAGACAUAUGCCAAUAUGUGAAUUACAGGAGCAUAUAUGUACAACGCCACAAAGUCUCCUGAUUUAUAAGCAGAAAGAAGUUUGCAUGUGGAAACGAAUAAAAAAAACAGUGUUAAUGGAAGGAGUUGUACAUUCUCCGAGUUAUGACUGGCACUAUGCAUGUUCCUUCAUUUUCAUAUUGAGUAUUUCUGUUUUAUGGAUGCUAAAAAGACAUCUGUGA
rnacentral:lncRNA from 1 species